CUCCUACGGGAGGCAGCAGUGGGGAAUAUUGGACAAUGGGCGAAAGCCUGAUCCAGCAACGCCGCGUGGAGGAUGAAGGCCUUCGGGUUGUAAACUCCUGUUAGGGGGAACGAAGGGUCGUGGGUUAACAGCCGACGACUUUGACGGCACCUCCAGAGGAAGCCCCGGCUAACUCUGUGCCAGCAGCCGCGGUAAUACAGAGGGGGCGAGCGUUAUUCGGAAUUAUUGGGCGUAAAGGGCGCGUAGGCGGCUGGGUAAGUCAAAGGUGAAAUCCCUCGGCUCAACUGAGGAACUGCCUUUGAAACUGCCUAGCUUGAGGCCGGGAGAGGGUAGUGGAAUUCCCAGUGUAGCGGUGAAAUGCGUAGAUACUGGGAGGAACACCAGUGGCGAAGGCGGCUACCUGGACCGGUUCUGACGCUGAUGCGCGAAAGCGUGGGGAGCAAACAGGAUUAGAUACCCUGGUAGUCCACGCUGUAAACGAUGGGUACUCGGUGUCGCGGGUAUCGACCCCUGCGGUGCCUUAGCUAACGCGUU
rnacentral:rRNA from 1 species